ACUGGGCAGCCCCUAGUACGGCGAGUGAGAGGGAAGAGCCCAAGAUUGAAAGCUGGCGUCUUCGGCGUCCGCAUUGUAAUCUCAAGAAGUGUUUUCCGCUUCGGACCAAGCCUAAGUCCCUUGGAAAAGGGCAUCAUAGAGGGUGAUAAUCCCGUACAUGGCUUGGAGCGCCCGAAGCUUUGUGAUACGCUUUCUAAGAGUCGAGUUGUUUGGGAAUGCAGCUCAAAAUGGGUGGUAAAUGCCAUCUAAGGCUAAAUAUUGGGGAGAGACCGAUAGCGAACAAGUACAGUGAUGGAAAGAUGAAAAGAACUUUGAAAAGAGAGUUAAACAGUACGUGAAAUUGCCAAAAGGGAAGGGUAGGAGGUCAGAGAUGCGGCCUGGGAUUCAGCCUUGCUUUUGCUUGGUGUUUUUCCCAGAUUGCAGGCCAACGUCGGUUUUGGGCACUGGAGAAGGGUAGGAGGAACGUGGCACCUCUCGGGGUGUGUUAUAGCCUCCUACUGGAUACAGCGACCGAGACCGAGGACAGCAGCGUACUCGCAAGAGCGGGCCUUCGGGCACCUUUACGCUUAGGGCGUUGGCAUAAUGGCCCUCUACCACCCGUCUUGAACCACGGAACA
rnacentral:rRNA from 1 species